rnacentral:rRNA from 1 species
AGCGAACGCUGGCGGCAGGCCUAACACAUGCAAGUCGAACGAAGUCUUCGGACUUAGUGGCGGAUGGGUGAGUAACACGUGGGAACGUGCCUUUAGGUUCGGAAUAACUCAGGGAAACUUGUGCUAAUACCGAAUGUGCCCUUCGGGGGAAAGAUUUAUCGCCUUUAGAGCGGCCCGCGUCUGAUUAGGUAGUUGGUGAGGUAAAGGCUCACAAAGGCGACGAUCAGUAGCUGGUCUGAGAGGAUGAUCAGCCACAUUGGGACUGAGACACGGCCCAAACUCCUACGGGAGGCAGAAGUGGGGAAUCUUGCGCAAUGGGCGAAAGCCUGACGCAGCCAUGCCGCGUGAAUGAUGAAGGUCUUAGGAUUGUAAAAUUCUUUCACCGGGGACGAUAAUGACGGUACCCGGAGAAGAAGCCCCGGCUAACUUCGUGCCAGCAGCCGCGGUAAAAC